rnacentral:lncRNA from 1 species
AACAAACUUCCCAGAUUGAAGGAGCUCAAGUUCAACUUCAACGGUGUCGGUGACCAAGUCCCUGUUGAGGUGAGGGAGGCCAUUAAAAACCAUAAAAACAAGCCUAGUCUUAAACUUAAUGGGCCAGAAACUCAAGACAAAGCAAAAGGAGAUGAACAAGAGGAUGACGAUGGUGCUGCAAAAUCCUCUUUCUGCUGGAAGAAACAGGUCUGACGCUGGAAGGGCCUCUCCGUUGAUCCCAUGGUGUGGUUUGCGUGUGCUAGUGUGGAUUGCACUCUGUUCUGCUUGUCUGUUGAUUUCAUUCUGCUGUGUGUUUAUGUUCUGCGUGCAUUACAACUGAAGUAUGUCCGUUUACUUGCUCUACAUGAGUGCCCUAGUGGCUUCGAUUGAGCAUAAAUGGUUGUAUCUAUGCUUGGAUUUGAAUUCGUGUGUCUUUCCUCUGUAUCGAACAACAUAUGCAUUCGUGUACGGUUUCAUGUAAUAAAGUGUGAUGUUUGUGCGCACAUUUGACUUCCUAUUAAUAUUCAGUGUGAUAUCAGUAUGCUUUGGUUGGGUUUCUGCAACUCAAAGAUGAACUGGUGUGGUGUGUGUCAUGAUAUAGUUACCUGUAAUGUAGGCAUCCGUUUCUUCAAACCAGCUGAGUAGUUCUUGCAGUAAUGCCUGAUGAUGUACUUGAAGCAGAACUUUGUGCAGAUUAAGCAUGUGUAUGAUCCACAAUCUGUCUGCAGCUCCUGAUUGCCAGGCAAGCACUAGCGCCACAGGAAGAAUGGAAUCUGUUUUCAGCUGUAUGUUGGCGUGCAUUUAGUAGGUCGCGUAGUUUCUCCCAUUGUUUGCUGGUGAAGAUGCCAAUACAGCUCCAUAUUUACCAAUCCACUUGAAAUGUUCAGACACAUGCAGCAAUCUCGGUUCUUCGGUUCCUCAUGUCAGAAACCAAAUCGAAGCAUGAGACCUGCAGAGACAGAAGCAAAGAUAUUAGGCAUAUAAACUCAGUCAGACAGGGUACCUCGUCACCGAAUUGUCACUCCACGGAUCAAAACCUGACGGUGGAACUAAACAGUGAGAAGUGCUCCAUUAGGCUGUGACGUAUCUAUUGUAGUCAUCUAUCCACUGCAAUUCAUUCAGAAAAAAACCUGUAUAACGAUGUAAGUAUAUGGGUGGAGAGGAGCACUAGCACCUACCAAUCCACUUGCAAUGUUCAGACACUUGCAUAACAAUCCUCACUUCCUAAUGUAAGAAAUUAAAUCGAAGCAUAAGACUUGCAGAGACAGAAGCUCGCCUAUUAGGCAUCGAGGAGGAAAAUCAUCAAGAAAAUGUAGUCUCUGCUGCUCUAAUUCCUCUUUCAAAUAAGCAGAUCGGAAGGAGUUGGAGGAGGUGCAACGCCCCCGCCUUACCUCGAAUCCGUGAACAACGACGAGCCGCAAAACACGACAGUGACGACGGCCUUGUCCUUCCACUUUGUUGGUACUGGCCGAUCUUUUUCGGUUUCGAUCGAGGCCGC